AAUGAACUGAUGAUAGAGACAAGUAGAUAAGAAGGCAUGAAAAGAGAGGAUUUGCCAUUUGGCUGUAAGCAAAUCCGCAUGACCCUUAUACGAACGACACUCUUUAGGUUUCUCUCUGAACGCUAAGUAAAAGUCAUUAGGAGAUGAACGUGAACCUGCGUUAACGGACUAGAGCGGAAGCAAAUGAAUUUUGCUUCAACUAGGGUGGCACCACGGGUAUAACUCUCGUCCCUACU
rnacentral:ncRNA from 1 species